GCCAGAGGAGGCAAUCGUUGUUCGGAAUCAUUGGGCUUAAAGCGCGCGUAGGCGGCCUUGUAAGUGUCUUGUGAAAUCCCACGGCUCACCCGUGGAACUGCAGGGCAAACUGCAAGACUUGAGGUCGGUAGAGGCGCCUGGAACUCUAGGUGGAGCGGUGAAAUGCGUAGAUAUCUAGGGGAACGCCGGAGGCGAAAGCGGGGCGCUGGGCCGAUUCUGACGCUGAUGCGCGAAAGCGUGGGGAGAAAACAGG
rnacentral:rRNA from 1 species